rnacentral:rRNA from 1 species
GAUGAACGCUGGCGGCGUGCCUAAUACAUGCAAGUCGAGCGAACGGACGAGAAGCUUGCUUCUCUGAUGUUAGCGGCGGACGGGUGAGUAACACGUGGAUAACCUACCUAUAAGACUGGGAUAACUUCGGGAAACCGGAGCUAAUACCGGAUAAUAUUUUGAACCGCAUGGUUCAAAAGUGAAAGACGGUCUUGCUGUCACUUAUAGAUGGAUCCGCGCUGCAUUAGCCAGUUGGUAAGGUAACGGCUUACCAAGGCAACGAUGCAUAGCCGACCUGAGAGGGUGAUCGGCCACACUGGAACUGAGACACGGUCCAGACUCCUACGGGAGGCAGCAGUAGGGAAUCUUCCGCAAUGGGCGAAAGCCUGACGGAGCAACGCCGCGUGAGUGAUGAAGGUCUUCGGAUCGUAAAACUCUGUUAUUAGGGAAGAACAUAUGUGUAAGUAACUGUGCACAUCUUGACGGUACCCAAUCAGAAAGCCACGGCUAACUACGUG